rnacentral:rRNA from 1 species
GACGAACGCUGGCGACGCGCUUAACACAUGCCAGUCGAACGGAAAGGCCUGCUUUCCCUUGUGGAUUGCGGGUACUCGAGUGGCGAACGGGUGAGUAACACGUGAGUGAUCUGCCCCCAACUUGGGUAUAAGCCUGGGAAACUGGGUCUAAUUCCCGAUAGGACUGCAGGGUGGUGCCUGUGGUGGAAAACGAUUUUCUAGUGGUUGGGGAUGAGCUCGCGGCCUAUCAGCUUGUUGGUGGGGUAAUGGCCUGCCAAGGCGGCGACGGGUAGCCGGCCUGAGAGGGUGGACGGCCACAUUGGGACUGAGAUACGGCCCAGACGCCUACGGGAGGCAGCAGUGGGGAAUAUUGCACAAUGGGCGGAAGCGUGAUGCAGCGACGCCGCGUGGGGGAUGACGGCCUUCGGGUUGUAAGCUCCUUUCGACCGCGAGGAAGCCACCUGGUUGGAAGGGUGGUGACGGUAGUGGUAGAAGAAGCACCGGCUAACUACGUG